UACGGGAGAAAGCAGGGGACCUUCGGGCCUUGCGCUAUCAGAUGAGCCUAGGUCGGAUUAGCUAGUUGGUGAGGUAAUGGCUCACCAAGGCGACGAUCCGUAACUGGUCUGAGAGGAUAAUCAGUCACACUGGAACUGAGACACGGUCCAGACUCCUACGGGAGGCAGCAGUGGGGAAUAUUGGACAAUGGGCGAAAGCCUGAUCCAGCCAUGCCGCGUGUGUGAAGAAGGUCUUCGGAUUGUAAAGCACUUUAAGUUGGGAGGAAGGGCAGUAACUUAAUACGUUGCUGUUUUGACGUU
rnacentral:rRNA from 1 species